rnacentral:rRNA from 1 species
AGCGAACGCUGGCGGCAGGCCUAACACAUGCAAGUCGAACGAACCUUUCGGGGUUAGUGGCGGACUGGUGAGUAACACGUGGGAACGUGCCUUUAGGUUCGGAAUAACUCAGGGAAACUUGUGCUAAUACCGAAUGUGCCCUUCGGGGGAAAGAUUAAUCGCCUUUAGAGCGGCCCGCGUCUGAUUAGCUAGUUGGUUGAGGUAAUGGCUCACCAAGGCGACGAUCAGUAGCUGGUCUGAGAGGAUGAUCAGCCACAUUGGGACUGAGACACGGCCCAAACUCCUACGGGAGGCAGCAGUGGGGAAUCUUGCGCAAUGGGCGAAAGCCUGACGCAGCCAUGCCGCGUGAAUGAUGAAGGUCUUAGGAUUGUAAAAUUCUUUCACCGGGGACGAUAAUGACGGUACCCGGAGAAGAAGCCCCGGCUAACUUCGUG